AGGACGUACACACUGGGCCCUGGUUCUCAGGCCUUCAGACUCAGACUGAACCACACCAGCAGCUCUCCUGGGUCUCCAGCUUGCAGACAGCAGAAGGCAGGACUUCUAAGCCUCCAUAACCAUACUCUCUCGUAGGAAGAAACAGCAGAGACGCUUCUGCUGCGAGGUCAGCAGAAGGAGGAAGAGUUUCCUGUAAGGACGCCCAGCACUAAGGAACACAGGGACCCAUGACACUCCUCGGAAGGGAAGCCAAGAACGAGCUCACGGAGCGAGCGGGACGCUCCGGGGAGGCUGGCGGCGGAGCUCGAGGUCUCCCGGUCAACAUUACAUGGUCAUCAGAAGUGGGAUCCAGAGAAAACCCCCAACAACUCUGAGGCUGGACAAGGUCCGCUUCUGCUGUUGGUCCCCUCCUGAUGAGAGGCUCCCCCCUGUACACAGUUGUAUAUUCUUCAUUGUGGGUCCUUCUAGUUGUGGCAUGUGGGACGCUGCCUCAGUGUGGUCUGAUGAGCAGUGCCAUGUCCAUGCCCAGGAUUCGAACCAACGAAACACUGGGCUGCCUGCAGCGGAGCGCGCGAACUUAACCGCUCAGCCACGGGGCCAGCCCCUCCUGUGCUUUAUUUUAAAGGCUGAGUCUUUUCUAUUAAAAAGUGCUAAGGUUUUGCAGCUAUGUAACCUUCUAUAUUUGUCUUUGAAAUCCUUUUGUUACUGGUUAAAUGGAUAAUUAAAUAUUGUUUCAUAAUUUUCUGUGAUCCUAUUUGGUCUUAUGUCCAAAGCCUUUUGACAUUUUUGACAAACUUCCCAAAAAUCAAAUUCUAAAUAAAGUCUUUUUGACCUGAAAAUAACUUUGGGAAUUUCCAGACGGUGCCUGGGACUUCUCAAAGGAUUUGUUCUCUCUUCCUAUAAAAAGGGAAAUGUUGAACUAAUUGGACUUAUUUGAUAUGUCAAAUUACAUGGAAAGCAUCAUCAAAUAAAUGAUGAUAAACCUUCUUACGUUAUAUUAUAUAGGUGAAUGUUGUUAAAAUAAAUGUUCUAGAGAUUGUAUGAAAAUUCCUAAAAUUCUGAUAUUUCCUGGUAUAAUGUUAUUAGUCAUAGUUUUAGAAUGUAUGUCACAGAAGUGACCAAAUUUACUUGUUGAUUAUGUUAUAAUGAACUUUCACCAGAUCUUUAACCAUUGCUAUUUUUAAUUUUUUGUCAUUUACAG
rnacentral:lncRNA from 1 species